rnacentral:rRNA from 1 species
UUCCGGUUGAUCCUGCCGGACCUGACUGCUAUCGGAUUGAUACUAAGCCAUGCGAGUCAUUGUAGCAAUACAAGGCAGACGGCUCAGUAACGCGUAGUCAACCUACCCUAUGGACGGGAAUAACCUCGGGAAACUGAGUAUAAUGCCCGAUAGAACACUAUACCUGGAAUGGUUUGUGUUCCAAAUGAUUUAUUGCCAUAGGAUGGGACUGCGGCCUAUCAGUUUGUUGGUGAGGUAAUGGCCCACCAAGACUAUUACAGGUACGGGCUCUGAGAGGAGUGGCCCGGAGAUGGGUACUGAGACACGGACCCAGGCCCUAUGGGGCGCAGCAGGCGAGAAAACUUUGCAAUGUGCGAAAGCACGACAAGGUUAAUCCGAGUGGUUUCUGCUAAAGGAACCUUUUGACAGUCCUAGAAACACUGUUGAAUAAGGGGUGGGCAAGUUCUGGUGUCAGCCGCCGCGGUAAAACCAGCACCUCAAGUGGUCAGGAUGAUUAUUGGGCCUAAAGCAUCCGUAGCCGGCUCUGUAAGUUUUCGGUUAAAUCUGUACGCUUAACGUACAGGCUGCUGGGAAUACUGCAGAGCUAGGGAGUGGGAGAGGUAGACGGUACUCGGGAGGAAGUGGUAAAAUGCUUUGAUCUCUCGAUGACCACCUGUGGCGAAGGCGGUCUACCAGAACAUGUCCGACGGUGAGGGAUGAAAGCUGGGGGAGCAAACCGGAUUAGAUACCCGGGUAGUCCCAGCUGUAAACUAUGCAAACUCAGUGAUGCACUGGCUUGUGGCCAGUGCAGUGUUGCAGGGAAGCCGUUAAGUUUGCCGCCUGGGAAGUACGUACGCAAGUAUGAAACUUAAAGGAAUUGGCGGGGGAGCACCACAAGGGGUGAAGCCUGCGGUUCAAUUGGAGUCAACGCCGGG